rnacentral:snRNA from 1 species
AGAGAAUCACUUGAACCCGGGAGGCGGAGCUUGCAGUGAGCCGAGAUUCUGCCACGGCACUCCAGCCUGGGCAACAGAG